rnacentral:lncRNA from 1 species
CUAGAUCUGAAACUAAGUUAACUACUCAUUAAUUCUUUCCUAGGCAGUUUCUAAAAUCUGUAUCCUAAGUUUCCUUGGUAACAGCAGACAGCAUAAUGUUCCAUGACACCUAUCCACUAAACAACACAAAAGCAUGAAUCCCGAACCUCUGUGUCCAUCUGGGAGUAUAUGGGGAGACUGGUGACAGACUUAGUCCCCCACCUGUAACAUGAUCCUGCACCAAGCACACAUCAAAUGCUGCUGAUGUGGAUGGGCACUGCAUCCUGUGGCAUACUGGAUGUGCAGAUAACAGUUGCCAGCCAUCAUCUCGAGAGUCUAGAUUUGCUACUUGAAAUAUGCAGCAUAUGAAAUGUGAAAACGACAUGUCAUAUUGCAUCCUAAUUAGAAAUGGAGAACAAAGAACUCCACAGGACCUGCAGUUUCUCUCUACUGAUGAGAAAAGGGAUUGCUCUGAAGAAGGUCUGGCUUUUAACGCUGGGGCCAACAGCAGCCUAAAGCCUUCCAGCUCACCUGGGAGGAUGCCUGUGAGCCAGCAUGCCAUGAGAAGAUGAACUCUGCAUGGGUUAACGCUGCCCUGGGUUAGCAAUGCUUUUCUUUUCCCUGAUUUCUCCCUGCCUUUUUAACUAAUACUUAGUUUCUAGUGCUGCAUCCUCUGUUUUGCAAAACAAGUCUUAACGUGAACAGAGAGCUCCUAUGCCUCAGAAUGCAGAAUGAACGUAGCUACCAUUUAGGUCACGCCAAGCUUUACCCUUGUGACUUGAGGAAAAUUGUGUUUGAUGAAAUUCUGCCUAACUUGUUUUUUUUUUUUUAAUUAUUAUUAUUUUAUUUUUUUAAAUUAAGGAUGGAACAUAUAUAUAAUUAGUUGACAUAUCAAAGUAUAUAAUUCAAAUGAGAAUAGCAUACUUCUGGAAGACAAUGCAAGUGUAGUCAUCAAGAUUUCAAUAAAAAUAUAUUUAUUACCUGUGAUUAGCCUACU